AGUGAACGCUGGCGGUAGGCCUAACACAUGCAAGUCGAACGGCCGCACAGUAAGAUCUUGCUCUUACGGGUGGCGAGUGGCGGACGGGUGAGGCAUACAUCGGAAUCUACUUUUUCGUGGGGGAUAACGUAGGGAAACUUACGCUAAUACCGCAUACGACCUACGGGUGAAAGCAGGGGAUCUUCGGACCUUGCGCGACUGAAUUAGCCGAUGUCGGAUUAGCUAGUUGGCGGGGUAAAGGCCCACCAAGGCGACGCUCCGUAGCUGGUCUGAGAGGAUGAUCAGCCACACUGGAACUGAGACACGGUCCAGACUCCUACGGGAGGCAGCAGUGGGGAAUAUUGGACAAUGGGCGCAAGCCUGAUCCAGCCAUGCCGCGUGGGUGAAGAAGGCCUUCGGGUUGUAAAACCCUUUUGUUGGGAAAGAAAAGCAGCAGGUUAAUCCCCCGCUGUUCUGACGGUACCCAAAGAGUAAGCAACGGCUAACUUCGUG
rnacentral:rRNA from 1 species